rnacentral:tRNA from 1 species
GGAGGGGUGGCCGAGGGGCCAAAGGCAGCAGACUGUAAAUCUGCCCGCGCAAGCGUUCAAAGGUUCAAAUCCUUUUCCCUCCACCA